ACCAAGUACAAGGGGCUGAACAGGUGUGCUAUUCCACUGUGCAUUCAGGGAGGGAAGAAUUUAACUCCGUCAAAUUUAGUUAGCUAUUAACUUGAGCAAGGCAAAGAGCCUCGCAGGAUUCUCCCAUAAGCAGACAUCCUGAGCAUUGAUCCUGACAAGAAGUGCUAUGUAAACUGCAGUAGUUUUAAAUGCAGAGCUUUUUUCUUUCUGUUUCCCUCUCUGCUUUGGCAUGUCUUUGCUUUAUACCUUCUGAAGUUUAGCAUCUGUCAGGAUUUUUGGACUGGACGUUUUUGUCGUCGUUGAUCAGCAGAAUUACUGUGCACUCAGCCUCAACUGAGGAAUAAGCAGGAGGAGCUUGGAGACGAGAUCCAGGGCCUAUCCUCAUCUCUGUCACACUUAUAAAUCUGGAGAAAUUCCACUUGUUCCUUGAGGACACACAAGGAUUUUAUUACAGCAGUGUUGAAAACUGGAAUCUGGCACAUCAUAUUAACAUAAAAUGCAAGGGAAAAAUACCCAUCAACAAGCAAAGGGCAAUACAGAAAAUAGGUUUGUUACGAGCAAAUUUGAUGUGUUUGUUUUCUUCUUCUUUUUUUUUUCCUCUGCAUUAAUGCCAUCCAGGCCUCUCCCAUAUAUUCUCGAGGAAAUGACUUCGUUAUAUCAGAGAAAUAUAUUGAAAAUGAAAUCAGUGGUAGCACCAAAUGUGCCCAGACAUGACAAGACAUUUAAGUAACAACAGCAGAAUUCUAUCUCCUUUCCUGUUUGUUCCAUGUUAACUUAUGGAGAUUGGUGCUGACUUUCUGGAAUGGCUGCAGCAAGCUGUAAAUGAUGUAUGAAAAUGAAAUGAAAAUUCUCUGCCCAAGCCACUGUGCACAGCAAUUGCUGCUGAGCUGAAUUAAUAGCUAUUUGCUCCUGUUUGCUCUGACACGGGAUGGAGCCAGAGAAGCCAGUAGCAAAGAUAUUGGAGUACCCAUCCACAGGUAUCCUGGACAGGACUCCUGCUGAUCCUUCACUCCAUCUUCAGUGGUGCAGUCCCUUCAGAGAGGUGAAAAGGAGGAGACACAAAUGUUUUCAGCCCUUCCUGGAAAAGCCCAAGGGGUUCACUCACAGAAUCAUAAAAUAUCCCAAGUUGGAAGAGACCCCUCAGGAUUAUCAAGUUCAACUCCUGGCUCCACACAGGACCACCCAAAAAUCAGGCCCUGUGUCUGAGAGCUUUGUCCAGAUGCUUCUUGAACUCUGGCAUGAUUGGUGCCAUGACUGCUGCCCUGGGGAGCCUGUUCCAGUGCCUGACCACCCAAAGUAAUAAUAGUGUGGAGUAAUCCUAUGAGAAUGACCAUGGCUGUCUUUACUGAUGUGGGAGGAGGGCAGAAGGAAUGACUUCAGUGCUGCUUUAAUUACUGAUCUCACUAACUGCCCUCCAAACCAGCAGGGUUUUGCCCGGAGCUGUUUCCAAAAGCCAGAAUGCGCUUCUGUAACUGAUUUACACCUGAAAGGGUGGCUCUGAUGGUUCCCCAGUAUGGAUUUUUACCCCAGUGAAGCUUGUACUUCUGGUAACAGAAAUCAAAGACUGUAAGUGUAUCCUGCCUGGACUGCUCACAUUGCUGGUGACAAGUGAUGCGAAAGUGACUGCACUGUCAGCUACUGGAAGCCUCAGGCAACGUGCAGCAGGGCUACAUACAGGGCUAGUUGCCUUAACUGCUUUUGACAUUUCUUCUCUCUGACCAUGAGGUUGCUGAGAUGGGAGAUUAAGUUGCUCGUGGAAGAAUGAGACCUGACACAGGUGAAAACCACAGACAUCUGCUGCAAUACAGCUGCACACCUUCGCCUGGAGUGGAGGCUGUCCUCAGUCAUCCUGCGAGGUAUGCCAGUCGCAAGAGCAUCUGAUAGGCAUUGCAGUUAACACAAGGCUAGGACCACGGUGGGUGAAGGUGGAGAGUGUACAUGAAGGAACACCUCUGUUUGGUUGCUGUUAAAUCAGUUUACAAUGUCUCAUGAGACUGCGGUGUCCCCAGGACCUCUGGCCAACACAUAAACAAAGGACAAAAUGGCCUCAGAAUGGACUUGCUGUCAUCUUUCUAGCUUCUGUGAGAGCAGUGAGAAUGGCUAACUCCUGGAGUCAGCACUAGGGAGGGAUGGAGUCCCAUUGAUACAAGGCAGAUAAGGAACUUGGCUGCAAAUCUAAAAGGACCUGAGAGUGGAAAAUGGGACAGUCCAGUGGGUGCAAACCAGGAGCCCCAGUGAGAAUCCUGUGAGAAGAGAAAGAAAGAAAGAAAGCUGUCCACCCUUUUCAGAAACCACUGAUUUUCCAUUGUAAAGAAAGAAUGAAAAAAACAAACAGAAGUUCCUUGCUUGCUGAUUGAUUUCGAAGGAAGAAAAUCUGCCCGGAGCAUCCACUGUUCCUGCGUGGGUGAUGAAGCGUUUGCUCUGGGAGCUUUGGUCACUCUGCCACUCACUUGCAAGGCACCGGGAAGCUGCUCUGCAUUCAGCAAUGCUGCAGUACCUUGUGGCUUGAGGUGCACUUGAUGAACAAGGUUGAACUGGAAUCUUUGAGCAGGAAUCCUCCUAAGCCUGAACACUGCCUAACUGGUGAAGAGUGAAGUGGGAAAUACAUACUUGUGAGCUCUGGGGCUCCUGUGGCUGGCGGACACUGCAACAAGAUCCAGCACAGCCCACAGGACUUUGAACUCAGUUUUCUCUUUGGAACAGCCUCCCCAGAUGAACUCUGAGCCUGGAUUUGAUGUUCCACACACGGUUUUGUCACAGCCCUGUGCUGUGCUGCCUGAGUGGCACCGAUGUGCAGUAAAGACCCAGCUGGCUGAGCACUUUCAGGACAAACAGGGAAGACAAUUUACUAUCUGAUUUUACGAGAGCCAUUUGCACUUUGCAGAAUUUUUUAAGCAGCAAAACCCUUAAGAGGCAUGUUCUGAGCCUGGUACCUCGGAGAAUUGCACACACAUUUCCUGUCAGCAGCCGGAGAAUGGUGUCUCACACCUGCUAUGAAGAGAUUGAAAUAUAUUCUUAAUGGCUUGAUUGCUUUGCAUUUCCCUGGAGAUGGGAUGACACACUGUGGCGUGGUUUCUUUUCCACAAGGAGCAUCCUGAACAGCGUGGCAGAGCUGAUGCUCGCUCGUACUGAUGCUCCCUGGGAUUUAACCUGUGCUUAAGAUCUAGCUAUGCUCAUAGGGAUGCUCUGGGCCUGGGAGGCAGCAGACAUGGAUCAUAGGUGGUUGCAGGCAGGAUCCUGCACUAGGACUGGUUUAAAGGUCAGCUGAUGGCUGGGCUAAAUGCCCAGAGGAAAACAUCCCUAAAAUGGAUGCUUUGCUGCAUGCAUCAUCCUGGGCAGCACUCUGAAAACCAGCAGUGAGAGAAGUUAAAACACAUUCUUUAGUUGCCUACCUCCAUGUGGUUUGUCAGAGCAUCCCAGCACCGCCAUGUGAAUGCUGCAGUGAUGCCAGGAGGACACCUUCCCACCUUGGCCAGUUACAGCCAGCACAUACCAGGGAAUGGCAGAAUAGGCCUUCCCCUGCAUCUGCCCCACUGUGAUGCUCCACCCAAAGGCUGUCCCUGUCAGCGAUGAACCUGUUAUCACACAUCAAAUAUUCAGCAACCAAAUACCAUCCAUUUCCAAGAGGCUUGAGCCCCAACCUCUUUGUUGCAUGGGAAGGAGGUGCACUAAAGGAUGACAGGCACUUCUGUAGGGUACCCUUUUAUUUCAGCAUCUUGAACAGCUGCAUGUCACCAGCCAUUAUCCUGCAGACCUCUGUACCACCCCACCUCACCACACACCCAACCCAUGGAAUGGUUUCUAAUUUUGGCAGAAGACGCUGUGGUUUCUGCUGAACGUGGUGGAAGUUGGGAGCUUUCAUCCCAUGGGAACACAGCGCAGUCCCAUAUCAGACUGAUACGAAAAGGAAACAGCGGUGCUUUUCUGCCUCAGAAUGUUUCUGUUUUUCAGACACCUGAAUAUAAACUCUGUAAAAAGGAAUUAUAUUAGAUAUGUAAAUAUUAAUAUUUAUGAAAUAAAU
rnacentral:lncRNA from 1 species